UACGGAGGGCGCAAGCGUUGUUCGGAAUCACUGGGCGUAAAGCGCGUGUAGGCGGCUUGGCAAGUCGGAUGUGAAAUCCCGAGGCUCAACCUCGGAACUGCACUAGAAACUGCCUGACUCGAGUCCCGGAGAGGGUGGCGGAAUUCCCGGUGUAGGGGUGAAAUCCGUAGGGAUCGGGAGGAACACCAGUGGCGAAGGCGGCCACCUGGACGGUGACUGACUCUGAGACGUGAAAGCGUGGGGAGCAAACAGU
rnacentral:rRNA from 1 species